rnacentral:lncRNA from 1 species
GUGUCAGAACUUAACUGGAGGACCCCCAGUUCAUGCCGGUGUCCAUGUCUGGGCAGUUUGCUCGGUGGUGGGGAGAAAUCCCCACACAUUUGGUCGUAGAAGCCUUCUGUGUUGAUUGUUGUGGCGCGGCGUGAGAACAGAAGAACUGUUGGAGUUUUUUCACCCUCAGAGAGUGUUCUCACUUCUGGCUCCACUUCCUCCCAAGGUGUCUGGGGCACGAGUUCUGCCGGAUGGCAGCGUAACUGGCUUUGGUGUUGAUUUAUGAGUCACCACUGGGGUGAGAUGAGGGAGGCAGACUCAAGUACGUGAUUACAGGGCACCAAGAGACCACCUGCCCAACAGAUCUUCACUCAUUGCCUUACCAAACCUGAAAUUACCUUAGCAAAAGCAAGUAAAUGUGGCCACUCUAGGGCCCCGACCUGGAUUCCUAGCCAGACCAGCCACUGGUGCUCUCUAUCUGAUGCAGCCAGGUUGGUCUCUCUCAACCUCCCCAAACAUGCCCAUGCCUUCCUGCUCCUCUCUACCUGGGCAUGGGCUAUGCCCACCUCCAGGAGGUCCACCAUGAAGGCGUGAGCCCAGUAAUAUGGAAAUGUCUGUUAUCAGGGCCUUUAGGGUAUCCUGUGAUGGUGGGAAGGGGAUGCUAGCACGGGGCCAGGAACAGCAGGAGGUUUGAGGCUGCAUUGGAGAAGGACAGAGCUGGGCUCUUGAAUCCUAAGGCUUUCAUCUCAGGCAUGAAUCUGGUGACAUCAGGACAUUCUCCAGAGCCCAUUGGUACAGGCAGAUUAGGGCAGGUUUGAGAGAUUCUAGAAUCAGGUAGAUAGUACAUUUUGGCAUGUCUAGAUAAUUGAGCUUAGAAAUCAAGCAAUCCAGCCCCUCACUUUACAGUUAAGGAAAUGGAGGUUCAGAGAGAUUCUGAGCUCUUCCCCAUCUUACAUCUGGAAGAGGCCAGGCCAGGGCUCAGAUCCAGGGCCUUUCAUGAAGCAGCCAGGGCCACAUGCCUGGAUCACAGCUGGAAAGCUAUGCCCUAGCAGGGCUGCUGUUUGCAGCUGUUCAGGCCUUGCCUUGCUUUUUAUAGACUGAAGUAUGAGCAACACUGCCUGGGGGUGAGCAGUGCACACACUGCACCACUGUCCGGGGAGGCUCUGAGUCAGAGUCAAAGCAAAGGCCUGAGAGCUCCCAUCAGAGAGGUCCCAUCUCUUGGGCUGGGCUGGGUAUGUGGUGAAAAUGGAGGCAGGAGGGUGACUCGGAACCUGGACAGCAGUGAUGGGUCCCCAUCCAUGGACACUGGAAUUUAGGGUGGAAGACUGGCAUUUGGAAAGGCAGGCUGACUUCGCUGGACUGACAGCUGGACAGAGAGCUGGCUCGGCCUUCCUUGGUGUGGGAACUGCCUGGGAGACUCAGCAUAAAGGAGCAGAGGUGGAUCGCUCCUGCAGGCAUGUGGUUCCCAAAACAGAAAAGGGGACAGUGAGAAAACUGAGGCACAGAGAAGUUGAAAGCUGCCUAAGGUUCUGCAAUGAAUGAGUGCCACUGUCAGAAUUCCAACACAAAGGACCAGCUGCAGAGCCCAGGAUCUUAACUACUCUGCUAAUCCUUGUGGGCAAAAAUUAUGCAUAUGUAAAUGCUCUUUGCUUAAAUACAGAUGUGGAUGGAUGAACGUAUGUAGGUCAGCCUACCACCAUUUUUCCCUUUUCCUCUUGCUUUUUUUUUUCUUUACAGGAAAAUUACUUGUUUUAUUUCAUAAUAUAUUUGCAUGCUUUUCCAGCUAUAAACAUAGAGAAUUAAGUUCAUCUUUGACAAUAGUUGUCUCAUAAUUCAUGGUCAAAUAUGCUAUAUUUAGCCAUUUCAUUACUCACAGGCAUUUAGAUUCUUUCC